rnacentral:piRNA from 1 species
UAGUCACUAUGUUUUGGGGGAGUUG